CGUAGCGGUGCCAUUCACAUCGUUCCUUUGAAGAGCUGCCAGUUUCCUUCUUCCCUUCACCUUUUCCCAUCACAGCUUUCACAGCGUUGCUCUGCGUUUCUCAGCCCGCCUCCCCGGGGUCCUUGUCCUCCAUUACCUCUCCACGUUGGCCAUGGCCAUGGUGCUCCCACCUCCCACUUCAGCCCCCUCCAUCUUCUGACUUUGUCCCAGCAGAACCAGGACCAGCCCCAGUUACACCAGCACCAGUUCCAGUAAGACCAGCACCAACACCAGCCCGGCAGCAUGGAACACACCAAGAACUGGGCCGCUGUGCUCAGAGCCAUCACGAGAGCCCUGCCAGCAUCCACAAACACACGCACAGCUGUUCUUCCCCACGCUGAGCGUUUUACCGUCCACCCAGCUAAGAGGAUUUUGCUUUUCUCUUCUCUCUAAACCCAAUGCAGGUUCAGUGUAAUACCGGGCCCAUUCUGCUGCAGUGAGGCUGAGAGCAAUGGGGUAAGUGGUGCUAUUUCCCCCAGCACCGACAUCCCCACACUCUGCAGCACCGCAUGGGGCUCCCACUGCACCCUGCAAGCCAAGAUCUGGCCCAGCCUUGGUAGGAGGCAGGAGGACUAUAUGGGACACGUGUCCUCCCCAGUGUGUCUCAGCGUCACUGGGAGCUGCAUGGAGGUGGAUGAGGUCCCGCAGCUCCCAGGGACAGAAUCAUAGAAUCCUAGAAUAUCCCGAGUUGGAAGGGACCUACAGGGAUCGUUGAGUCCAACCCCUGACUCCAAAAGGGACCACCCAAAAAUCGGACCAUAAACGGGUCUGAUGAGAGGGGUUGGCUUUGGGAUCGGUUCCACAUACAUGACCUCCUUAUCCUGUACAUCAUUGGGACUGCUUUGUCUCAGGCAGCCCAAGAGAAGAAAGGAUCCUUGUCCUGGGGUCACAGCUCCCAUCCCAGUACGUGUCCACAGGAGAAAAUGGGACAGCGGAGAGAGGAGGACAAACACGGUGCCUGUGCCAAUCCCUCUGUGCCAGGGCUGCUCCCCUCCCCGCCAGCCAACCAAGCAUUUAAUCUAACAGCCAUCCCCCGCCCCGCUGUAUAAAGGCAAUUUGAGUGAGGCUCUGUGCGUGAGAGGAGGCAAAUUCCUCCAUGGGGCCAUGAAACUGGACAGAGCCUGGGGCUGUCCCUGCGCUGUGGGGACAUCACCGUGCUGCUCCGUUCUCCAGUGAGUGCAGAGCUGACAGCAAGAGGGAAACGGAGGCACAACGGUGGAUGCAGAGCCCCGAUGCCACCAAAGGAAUUUUCCAAAGUGAAGGCAUGGUUUGGAGCUAUCAACAUGAUGGGAGCUGCAGCGUGCAUGGAAAAUGGGAUUCUCCGUGGGUCUGAGCUGCCUGGGGAGUGAGUUCCCACUGGGGACACGGGGCUGCCGUCCCCUCCAGCAUCCUGCAGGCAGGUGGGGACAGACAGUGGUGACACCACCACGAGCCACAUCUCACAGGGGGACCCUGUGCUGGGAUGGGAGGGGGAUGGGGUUGGGACAGGGAUUGGAAUGGGGACGGGGAUGGGGAAAAGGAUGGCAAUGGGGACAGGUAUUGGAAUGGGGACGGAGAUGGGUACAAGGAUGGGGAUGGGGACAUGGAUAGGGAUUGGGAUGAGGACAGGGAUGGAACACGGACAAGGAUGAGGAAUGGGAUGGGGAUGGGAACAGAGACAGGGAUGGGAACAGAGCCCAGGUACUUGGACCCCACUGUCCCGUGGCUGCAGUGGGACACACCGGGCAGAGCUGGGCUGUACGUGGGCCACACAGGGACAGGGAGGGGCCGUCACCGCCAGGUGACACCCAAAUGGCACCCGUUUGGGGCAGGGGCUGAGGGACAGGGAGAGUGCAGGCACCGGCAAGAGGC
rnacentral:lncRNA from 1 species